rnacentral:rRNA from 1 species
ACGGAGGGUGCGAGCGUUGUUCGGAAUUAUUGGGCGUAAAGAGCGUGUAGGCGGGUUGGUAAGUCAGAUGUGAAAGCCCCGGGCUCAACCCGGGAAGUGCAUUUGAAACUGCCUUUCUUGAGUAUGGGAGAGGAGAGUGGAAUUCCCAGUGUAGAGGUGAAAUUCGUAGAUAUUGGGAGGAACACCCGUGGCGAAGGCGACUCUCUGGACCAAUACUGACGCUGAGACGCGAAAGCGUGGGGAGCAAACAGG